GGAUCAUUGUCGAAAUCGAACGGAAGAACGACCCGCGAAUCGUCAUCGCGUAGUAGACAGAGCCCGUGAGCACCUAACGCUCCAUGGGUCUCGCGUCGCGUCGGCGCGGGUGUACUCGAGACCCGCGUCGUACCGGCGGACAAACAACGUCAGCACGGAUCGUGCCAAGGAGCUGCAUGGAGAGAAUCGUCGUCCCCCGCCUUUGAUAGUCCUCGACGCGGGACGGGGGAUGCACGCAAUCUCUACUCAAAAGUCUAAACGACUCUCGGCAACGGAUAUCUCGGCUCUUGCAUCGAUGAAGAACGUAGCGAAAUGCGAUACUUGGUGUGAAUUGCAGAAUCCCGUGAACCAUCAAUUCUUUGAACGCAAGUUGCGCCCGAAGCCAUUCGGCCGAGGGCACGCCUGCCUGGGCGUCGUGAAUCCCCUUGCCCCUGGGCACCCGCACGAGCAUCGGCGGGGACAUAUGCUCGGGCGCAGAAUAUGGUCUCCCGUGGGAUCGGCAUGCACGGCAUGACGAGGUGCGGUUGGCCGAAAAUCGAGCAUGGCGGUGACGGGCACCACGGCGUUCGGUGGAUCGAAUGAGAUUGGCUGCGUCGUGGGCUCGGCAUGCGGCGGGCUCCGGACUUUGAAUACCCCCGAGUGCGAUCCCAGGUCAGGCGGGGCUACCCGCUGAGUUUAAGCAUAUCAAUAAGCGGAGGAAAAGAAACUAACGAGGAUUCCCUUAGUAGCGGC
rnacentral:rRNA from 1 species